rnacentral:misc_RNA from 1 species
CCAGAACCACCCAAUAAAUCCUAUUAUCAUAUUAUUAUUAAAUCAGUGUAGUACAGUUCCAUAAACAUAUGGGCAGUUGCUCCCAGAAUUUGAUCAUCAAUUGUCAAUUAUAAGGUGCAAAAAUUCCAUUUCCGGGAAAUUAUUCCCCCACCCCAACCCAAAAAAAAAAAAUCCCCAUUUUCCCUCCUAAGAAAAGUUAUCUGAAAUUGUAUUCCCACGGGAUCACAUGAACAAUUUCAAACUCAUUUUGUGUAAGUGAACCACAUAAAUUGACCGUCUUACACUGAACCAUCCAAACUUUCCCAAUUGAUAGGAAGGCAACCGGAGUUAGGAUUUGAUCACUUCUGGUCUGUGUAAACAGCAUCAACGUCAUCAAGUUCAAGUAAUUUAGACAUAAGUUCUUUGUUCAAGUCCAUUGCCUCAUCAUCUACCUCAAUAGUUGUUAAAGGAAGUAGCUCUGAACCAUUAUCAGUCUCAAAUUUUAUUCCUUCCUCACGAAGUUUUGACAAUAUUUCAGCAUAGUCCUCGGACGAACUUACAACUUUGUAGUAGCUUGCUGAGCUAUCUUCAUCAGUAUCAUCAUCAUAUAUUGGAGGUUCAAUGACAUCCUCAGCACCAGCAUCCAAAGCAAUGGUAAGGAGCUGAUCUUUGUCCGCAUCUGUGACUUUUAUAUUCACAAUCCGAACUCGUCUAAACUUGAACAUGACAGAUCCAGGAUCCGCCAUCUUUCCUCCAUAGUCCUUCACUACCUCUCUAACAGCUGCCACAGAUCUGUUUAUUUUAUCUGUCAAGACCUCCACCACCAUACUAACUCCACCAUAACCAUAUACCUAAAUUGAAACAAAAUUCACUUGAAGAGCUGAUAGAUGGGGGAAAAAAAAUAGUAUCCUUAGAAGAACUCUCCUAUAUUAGCAGCACAAGAUAAAAGAUGAAUGAUAUUCAACCUCAUAGAUUUUCUCAAUAUAAGCCUCUUGUCCCUUCUCAGAAGCCCUCUUAAUAUUGCGCUCCAAAAUUUCCUUAGGUACAUCAAGUUCCUUGGCUUUCUCGAGUACAGCAGCUAGAGCUGUAUUUGAUAUAGGAUUUGGGCCACCUUUCUUUACACUGCAUCACUCAAUAGAAUUUUAGAAAGUAUAAACACAUAUUUGGACCAUGUUGACACAAGUAAUGUUAAUGUAGCAACUGAUAUCAAUGAACAUAUAUUGAAAAUACGGUCACUCCUUUUGUUCUAUAUAAAGCUUAUUAAGCCAGCAAUAAGGGGUUAAGAGAAACCAACUUACGCAGACACAACUUCCUUUCCGAUCCUAGAAUACAACUUUGCCUUCUUAGCAUCCUGAGCCCCCUUUCUGCCGGCGAUUUUGGAAGAACGCCUGCCCAUACAUAGAGGAGGGUAAGUCCAUAACCUUCUCACAUUCACUUGACAAUGACUAUGUUUUUCUUCAUAAAACAAUGUGAACCCAGAAUAACAGCUAUAAGAUGACAAUGAUGAUAACGGACUCCUACCAAGCAAACCAUUCCUUAGAGGAGCAAAGCAAGUGGUUGGGCAUUUGAAGCAGACCCCAUAUGAGAAUCUCUGAAGAAUUGCUCCUACUGCUCUCAUUGCAAGCUACCAAAAAUCCAGUUUUAUGAAAUGGUGUAGAGUGCACAUGAAAAUGCCCAGGACCAGGAGGGCAGCAAUCAGGAUUGAACCUUUCUUUGUGUCCUGGACUAGGACAAAGCUGACACCCGUUACAACUACAGAGUUUUCUACACCACUACCAGAUAUUCUGGCCGGUGGACUGGACCAGCCCAUUUUUUUGGCCCCGAGGCUAUUUUAUUUGAGUAAUUUAUAAUACACCCCCCUGAAGUUAGGCAAAACCCUCAACUUCAUCCUUACUUUUUAAAAUGUAAUGAUUUAAUCUGAACGGUUUAAUAUUUCUGCCCAAUUAAACCUUAAUAUUUAACUCUUUGUUUUUACCAAUUCCAUUAAAUUUAAAAAAAAAAUUAAAUCAGAAAUGUUGGAGCACUUCUCUACAGCUAAAUACUAUGGUGCACUUCUCACUAAUCUUUUAACAGUUGAUUAGAUUGGAGAACUUCUCUCCAAUCUUUGAUGGCUGAUCAGAGCGCUUCUCUCCAAUCUCCAUUCUUGAUGCACUUCUCAUCAAUGACUCUUUUUAUACACUUAUCAUCAAAAAUUUCCUUGAAACACUUCUCUCCAGCAAUCCCAUGAAAAUUUUGGUGCAUUUCUGAUAGGGAUAGAACCAGGAAAAGAACUAGAAGAAUGGAAAAGGCCAAAGGUUCUGGAAUUAUGGCAGAAGUCUCUAGAAGGCCAGCUGAGCUCCAGUCACUAGAGGGAAUUUCAGGGGCCAUGUGACAGUAACUGAAGAAAAUGUAUAAAAGAAUAGGAGGGAAGAGUGUAGAGAGAUAUGAGAAAGUUUAUUUUAAUUCCAGCCAGAGUCACUAGCUUGGGGACAGAAUUCUUUCUGCUGGGAGAGUAAUUUCAUUGGCGAAUUAUCUCUGUAUCUGGUUGAUUUCUGAGUAAUAAUAUUACUCUGUUAUCUGCAUUUUCUUAAGGUCAUUGAAGCUUGGAUACCGCAUGUUGGGAAAAUGUACUGAUAAGGAAGAAAUAUCUUAUUGUGAAUAAUGAAAGAAACUUUGUACAACUCUCAUGCUCAAAAGAUUAACAAAUGACUCCUGUUAUACAGUAGCAUAUCUUGUAUUUGUUGCACAAAAUUAGUGCAACUAACUAAAAGAUAAAAGGAUCUCUAAAAUUUAUCAACAAAUUAUACCUACAAUUACAUGAUUAUGGAACUAACACUAAAAAAUCCGAAAUCGUUAACAACCAAAUAAAACUUUGGUCAGCUCAUAGUUGAAUUAACUCCAACAAUAUAGCAAACAAAUUGGUAGUACUAUUUGAGUCCAACUUGAAUUGGCAUAAUUCAUAAUAAUUCAUAGCAUGAAACUACAAAUCAGAUUUUUAAUUUGAGAACUUUUAUUUUGAAUUAUUCUCAUUUCUCUUAAAUUAUACAAAAAUCGAGAAGCAUAGCAACUAAUUCAAAUUCCUUUUCCGCUGUUUUACCUUCAACUCAGCCAAUGGAUAUCACCAAUAACCCCUACUUAUAAUGCAACUCAAGCAGAUACAUUAUUCGACAGACUCAAUGUACCAAGCAACCAUGCAGAUUUGGAGCACCAAACCAAUGACGAGAUCAUUGUUAACAUAUCAUUUACCACAAAUAAAAAUUAUCAGCAACAGAAUUGACUUUAGUAAUGAAGUUUUAACCAAAUUAGAUUUUUGAAUUUGUCAAUAUCUGUUAUGUUUAUCAAUUGAUCUUACUGGCAUCUAGAAAUCAUACAGAACUUUACCCGAUCAAGCAAUAUAUUUGAGGACUUGAAAUCUCUGUAAAGUAUUGGUUUCUCCAUCAUAUGCAAGUAAGCCAGACCUUGAGCCAUUCCUAUCAUAACCUUAACCCUUGUUUCCCAUGAAAGCAGCCGAUUUGGGCUACUUCCAAACAAAUAAUAAUUCAAGCUGCCUCUUUCCAUGAGUUCAUAUACAAUGAGGAAAUUUUCAUUUUCCUUGCAGUAUCCCAUCAGCUUUACAAUGUUAGGAUGAGAAAGCCUCCCUAAGAAACCAACCUCUGUUCGCCAUUGUCGAAAUCCUUGCUUGCUGCUUGUGUCCAAUCUCUUAACAGCAAUGGUUCGUUUCCUGGUACCUCGAUAAUUUUUCUCGUUGAUCCAGCCCUUGUAGACACUGCCAAAACCUCCUCUUCCCAGCACCAUGUCACUUCUAAAAUUAAAGGUUGCAGCUUUCAGUUGUGCAAAGGUGAAAGCUCUCAACUUUGAAUCUGAUUCAGUUACUACAUCAGGAAGAUUCUCGUCUUCAAUUGCAGCGGGGAAUUCAUCGUCAUCAAUGGCAUUGUACCCCCAGAUAGCUGCAAUCGCGCCACUCACUUGAGAUAACCGUGCUGUAAGAUUGGUGGUUACCAUAGAGAACCAGCUUGUGCGUGAGACAUUGCUACCCACAAAAGAUGCAUCCCCAUCAAUGAGAUGGCCGAUGCUGCUGGGGAGCGGGUCUGGGUCUGGGAUUGAGUCUGCAACUGGAGGUGUAGCCGGAGGGAUAGAAGCUGGGGCUAGAUUGGACUUACCAGCAAUGCAACUCCAGCAAAUCCCCAUCAAAAAAAUUUUUUCUGUACAUGCAUGAUUAUCGAUUUCUGUUUCUGAUGAGAAUAGGUCGAGAGAAAACUGAAAAGGCUAAAGAUUUUCUUUCUUCCGGUUGAGUCAACGGCCAUCGCAUUUUUAGUCACCCUGUCAUUCCUGUACACUCAAGUUCAAGGAAAGAGUGAUGCGGAAU